rnacentral:lncRNA from 1 species
CAAAAUAGCAGUUUUUAAGAGAAUUAUUUAAAAAUACAACUUAUUCAUGAAAAACUUUGAAAGCAUACUCAUUUAUCCACAAAUAUAUUUGUUAUCCAAAUUUCUAAAUCACAAACCCAAAUCUAUAAAAGUUUUCUAAAAAAUGAAAACUUUCGAAAAAUAACAGCUUUUAAGAUAAUUAUUUAAAAAAAUAAUAUAAUGAUGAAAAAUUCUGAAAGAAUUCUCAUCUAUCCAUAAACAUAUUUGUUAUCCUAAUGUGUAAAUCACAAACCCAAAUCUAUAAAAUUUCUCUAAAAAAUGAAAACUUUCCAAAAAUAGCAGCUUUUAAGAAAUUUUUUAAAAAUACAAUAUAUUGAUAAAAAACUCUGAAAGACUAUUCAUAUAUCCACCAAUAUUCUUGUUAUCCUAAUUUCUAAAUCACAAACUCAAAUCUAUAAAAGGUCUCUAGAAAAUGAAAAGUUUCAAAAAAUAGCAGUUAUUAAGAAAAUUAUUUAAAAAUACAAUAUAUUGAUAAAAAACUCUGAAAAAUACUCAUCUAUCCACAAAUAUUCUUUUUAUCCUAAUUUAAAAAUAAACAAACUCAAAUCUAUAAAAGUUGUCUAAGAAAUGAAAACUUUCCAAAAAUAGCAGUUUUUAAGAAAAUUAUUUAAAAAUACAACUUAUUCAUGAAAAAUUCAGAAAGAAUACUAAUCUAAACACAAAUAUUCUUGUUAUUCUAAUUUCUAAAUCACAAACCCAAAUCUAUAAAAUUUCUCUAAAACAUUAAAACUUUCUAAAAAUACCAGCUUUUAAGAAAAUUAUUUAAAAAUACAAUAUAUUGAUGAAAAAUUUUGAAUGAAUAUUCAUAUAUCCACAAAUAUUAUUGUUAUCCUAAUUUUUAAAUCACAAACUGAAAUCUCUAAAAGUUCUCUAAAAAAAUGAAAACAUUACAAAAUAGCAGUUUUUAAGAAAAUUAUUUAAAAAUACAACUUAUUCAUGAAAUACUUUGAAAUCAUACUCAUUUAUCCACAAAUAUAUUUGUUAUCCAAAUUUCUAAAUCACAAACUCAAAUCUAUAAAAGUUCUCUAAAAAAUGAAAACUUUCGAAAAAUAACAGCUUUUAAGAUAAUUAUUUUAAAAAAUAAUAUAAUGAUGAAAAAUUCUGAAAGAAUACUCAUCUAUCCAUAAAUAUAUUUGUUAUCCUAAUGUGUAAAUCACAAACCCAAAUCUAUAAAAUUUCUCUAAAAAAUGAAAACUUUCCAAAAAUAGCAGCUUUUAAGAUAAUUAUUUUAAAAAAUAAUAUAAUGAUGAAAAAUUCUGAAAGAAUACUCAUCUAUCCACAAAUAUAUUUGUUAUCCUAAUUUAAAAAUCACAAACUCAAAACUAUAAAGGUUCUCUAAGAAAUGAAAACUUUCCAAAAAUAGCAAUUUUUAAGAAAAUUAUUUAAAAAUACAGCUUAUUCAUGAAAAAUUCAGAAAGAAUACUAAUCUGAACACAAAUAUUCUUGUUAUCCUAAUUUCUAAAUCACAAACCCAAAUCUAUAAAAGUUUUCUUAAAAAUGAAAACUUUCCAAAAAGAGCAGUUUUUAAGAAAAUUAUUUUAAAAUACAAUAUAUUGAUGAAAA